ACGUAGGUGCUGCAUGGUUGUCGUCAGCUCGUGCCGUGAGGUGUCGGGUUAAGUCCCAUAACGAGCGCAACCCCUACCUUUAGUUGCCAUCAGGUAAUGCUGGGGACUCUAAAGGAACUGCCUACGCAAGUAGUGAGGAAGCGGGGAUGACGUCAAAUCAGCACGGCCCUUACGUCCAGGGCUACACACGUGCUACAAUGGCCGAUACAGAGGGCAGCUACCUGGUGACAGGAUGCAAAUCUCCAAAGUCGGUCUCAGUUCGGAUCGGAGUCUGCAACCCGACUCCGUGAAGUUGGAUUCGCUAGUAAUCGCGCAUCAGCCAUGGCGCGGUGAAUACGUUCCCGGGCCUU
rnacentral:rRNA from 1 species